UUCCAUGGCUCCCAGUGGGCUCAGGGACUGAAAAGCAAAUAGUUGGCUGAUUUCCUUUUAUCUUCCCAAGGGCAAAUACCAGCUGGCUCCAAGUGUGAAGAAAUGUAAAAAGACUGGCACAUUGACAUCUCCUCCACACUCAUUUUAGGGCAGCUGGAAAAGGAGGCAAACACUUCUUGGUUGGAAGAGUUCAGUCUGGGCUACUGCAUGGGUUAAGCAGUGCUGAAGGAGAGAUUUUUUCCUGGACAAAACUGCCUGAAGCAAAUACAAAGCAUAGGACUUCUGAGCAUGGCAAGAGACCGUGAAGCAGCAGCUUGG